rnacentral:rRNA from 1 species
AUUGAACGCUGGCGGCAUGCUUUACACAUGCAAGUCGAACGGUAACAGGCCGCAAGGUGCUGACGAGUGGCGAACGGGUGAGUAAUGCAUCGGAACGUGCCCAGUCGUGGGGGAUAACUACUCGAAAGAGUAGCUAAUACCGCAUACGAUCUAUGGAUGAAAGCGGGGGACCGUAAGGCCUCGGGCGAUUGGAGCGGCCGAUGUCAGAUUAGGUAGUUGGUGGGGUAAAGGCUCACCAAGCCAACGAUCUGUAGCUGGUCUGAGAGGACGACCAGCCACACUGGGACUGAGCCAACGCCCAGACCCCUACGGGAGGCAGCAGUGGGGAAUUUUGGACAAUGCGCUCAAGCCUGAUCCAGCAAUGCCCCGUGCAGGAAGAAGGCCUUCGGGUUGUAAACUGCUUUUGUACGGAACGAAACGGCUCUGGUUAAUACCCGGGGCUAAUGACGGUACCGUAAGAAUAAGCACCGGCUAACUACGUG